AGACGUCUACAUUAGAUACCCCUGUAGUCCCAGCCGUAAACUAUGCGCGUUAGGUGUAUCGGUGACCACGAGUUACCGAGGUGCCGAAGGGAAACCGUGAAACGUGCCGCCUGGGAAGUACGGUCGCAAGGCUGAAACUUAAAGGAAUUGGCGGGGGAGCACCGCAACGGGAGGAGCGUGCGGUUUAAUUGGAUUCAACGCCGAAAAACUCACCAGCAGCGACUGUUACAUGAAGGCCAAGCUGAAGACUUUGCCGGAUUAGCUG
rnacentral:rRNA from 1 species